rnacentral:rRNA from 1 species
UAGGGAAUCUUCGGCAAUGGACGAAAGUCUGACCGAGCAACGCCGCGUGAGUGAAGAAGGUUUUCGGAUCGUAAAACUCUGUUGUUAGAGAAGAACAAGGACGUUAGUAACUGAACGUCCCCUGACGGUAUCUAACCAGAAAGCCACGGCUAACUACGUGCCAGCAGCCGCGGUAAUACGUAGGUGGCAAGCGUUGUCCGGAUUUAUUGGGCGUAAAGCGAGCGCAGGCGGUUUCUUAAGUCUGAUGUGAAAGCCCCCGGCUCAACCGGGGAGGGUCAUUGGAAACUGGGAGACUUGAGUGCAGAAGAGGAGAGUGGAAUUCCAUGUGUAGCGGUGAAAUGCGUAGAUAUUUGGAGGAACACCAGUGGCGAAGGCGGCUCUCUGGACUGUAACUAACGCUGAGGCUCGAAAGCGUGGGGAGCAAACAGG